rnacentral:rRNA from 1 species
GUAGGGGAGCAAGCGUUGUUCGGAAUCAUUGGGCGUAAAGAGCGCGUAGGGUGGCUUGGUAAGUCUGUUGUGAAAGCCCACAGCUCAACUGUGGAACUGCGACAGAAACUGCCUGGCUAGAGUGCGGGAGAGGAAAGUGGAAUUCCCAGUGUAGAGGUGAAAUUCGUAGAUACUGGGAGGAACACCGGUGGCGAAGGCGGCUUUCUGGACCGCAACUGACGCUGAGGCGCGAAAGCUAGGGGAGCGAACGGGAUUAGAUACCCCGGUAGUCCUAGCCGUAAACGAUGGGCACUAGGUGUAGGGGGUAUCGACCCCUUCUGUGCCGUAGCUAACGCAUUAAGUGCCCCGCCUGGGGAGUACGGUCGCAAAGACUAA